rnacentral:rRNA from 1 species
AACGAACGCUGGCGGCAGGCCUAACACAUGCAAGUCGAGCGCCCCGCAAGGGGAGCGGCGGACGGGUGAGUAACGCGUGGGAACGUACCCUUUGCUACGGAAUAGCCUCGGGAAACUGGGAGUAAUACCGUAUGUGCCCUUCGGGGGAAAGAUUUAUCGGCAAAGGAUCGGCCCGCGUUGGAUUAGGUAGUUGGUGGGGUAAUGGCCUACCAAGCCGACGAUCCAUAGCUGGUUUGAGAGGAUGAUCAGCCACACUGGGACUGAGACACGGCCCAGACUCCUACGGGAGGCAGCAGUGGGGAAUCUUAGACAAUGGGCGCAAGCCUGAUCUAGCCAUGCCGCGUGAGCGAUGAAGGCCUUAGGGUUGUAAAGCUCUUUCAGUGGGGAAGAUAAUGACUGUACCCACAGAAGAAGCCCCGGCUAACUCCGUGCCAGCCGCCGCGGUAAGAC